UUAGUACUUCACCUUUGCUACACGACUAGAGUUUUAAGAUUCAACAAAAGGUAUAUCAAUAUCUUAAAAGUUCUUUAAAAAUAUUACUUUUUCGAUCAAAAACCCGACAGAACUGCUUGGCUCGUGAUUAAGUAACCCAACUUGUUCCAUGCAGCGGGCAGAGCCACUUGGAUACAAGUGAGGUCACUUGAUCCAAUUCACAAUAGAAGACAUCACACAGAUAUAUUACCAUUUUGACCCCACUACAACACCUAAAUACCACGAUUGUGACCUCGGUAUAAUACUACCAAAAUUUCAAAAUUCUAUAUCUCCAAGAUGUAUAGUAGGUCUUCGACUACACCAUCCACAAACUCUGGCUCUGCCCCUGCAUAUACGUUAAAUAAAUUUGGCCGAGAAGACGCUGAUUCCAUACCAGACCUGCGCGAAAAAACCCAUAUGUAUGCAACUUCAAACACAAGGAAUUGAAAUUUGUAAUGAACAUAUAAUAAGAGCCUAGUGGAAGUGUAAAAAGAACUGGUGAUUGGUAAGGUGGCUUCUUCUGAUGCAAGAGGAAAAGGUAUGAUAAAGACAUAACACCAAGAGGGAAAAUGUGAUAUGCAUGAUUGGCCUGCAAGGGAAUGUAAAAAUGUUUUUAAGAACUAAAAACUUCACCCCUUGUCUAAGCAAACCCACCGAUUUCUCUCUCCCUCUCUCCUCCCCCUCUUCUCUUUCUCUUAUCUCUCUUAUGUACUCCCAUUUCCUUCACCUACCAUGAGAGCCACACCCACUUCUUCUCCAAAUGGGGUGGCUUCACUCCCUCUUCUCUCCGUUGAAGAAGCUCUGGGUUCGAUUGCAUUCAGCUCAACACAAGAGCAGAGGGAUAUACAUUCUAUAUGAUGAUGUCAAGUCCUGCCCCUGUGAAGAUGUGCAUGUGUUGUGGUCAAUACUAGUGGAGUCACAUGCUCCUUCUUUGCCAUCAUCAACAAAAUGAAGAAACAUACACACAAACUGAGAGAUUUUCAGCCAUGUACAUAACUCACAUAAAGUGUUUUUUUCCCCCCUUUUUUCUUUCUAUAUUUCUUUGCUUUCCUACUAGGGAGCUCCAUUGUAGAGUGUGCAUAUUAUCCUAAGUUAUGAAAACACUAUCUGCUCAAUA